rnacentral:rRNA from 1 species
GACAGAGGUGCCAAGCGUUAGGCGGAAUCACUGGGCUUAAAGCGCGUGUAGGUGGCGGCCUAAGUACCUUGUGAAAUCCUGCGGCUCAACCGCAGAACUGCUUGGUAUACUGGGUCGCUUGAGCCAUCCAGGGGCAACUGGAACAAGCGGUGGAGCGGUGAAAUGCGUAGAUAUCUGGAGGAAUACCGGUGGCGAAGGCGGCAUCCUGGACCAUUACUGACGCUGAGGCGCGAAAGCUAGGGGAGCAAACGGG